AACGAACGCUGGCGGCAUGCCUAACACAUGCAAGUCGAACGAGACCUUCGGGUCUAGUGGCGCACAGGUGCGUAACGCGUGGGAACCUGCCCUUAGGUUCGGAAUAACUCCCCGAAAGGGGUGCUAAUACCGGAUAAUGUCUUCGGACCAAAGAUUUAUCGCCUUUGGAUGGGCCCGCGUUGGAUUAGCUAGUUGGUAGGGUAAAAGCCUACCAAGGCGACGAUCCAUAGCUGGUCUGAGAGGAUGAUCAGCCACACUGGGACUGAGACACGGCCCAGACUCCUACGGGAGGCAGCAGUGGGGAAUAUUGGACAAUGGGCGAAAGCCUGAUCCAGCAAUGCCGCGUGAGUGAUGAAAGCCUUAGGGUUGUAAAGCUCUUUUACCCGGGAUGAUAAUGACAGUACCGGGAGAAUAAGCUCCGGCUAACUCCGUG
rnacentral:rRNA from 1 species